rnacentral:rRNA from 1 species
GUUUUUUGAUGGUCUUCUCUCGGAUACCGUAGUAAUUCUAGAGCUAAUACGUGCGUAAAUCCCGACUUCUGGAAGGGACGUAUUUAUUAGAUAAAAGGCCAGCCGGGCUUGCCCGACUCUUGGUGAAUCAUGAUAACUUCACGAAUCNCAUGGCCUUGUGCCGGCGAUGUUUCAUUCAAAUUUCUGCCCCAUCAACUUUCGAUGGUAAGAUANAGGCCUACCAUGGU